GGGCAGGUGGUAGAGCGGUCAAUUACACCACGCUGUAGACGUGGCGCCUUUAUGGCUACGGGGGUUCAAAUCCCUCCCUGCCCA
rnacentral:tRNA from 1 species